UACGUAGGGUGCAAGCGUUAAUCGGAAUUACUGGGCGUAAAGGGCGCGUAGGUGGUUUGUUAAGAUUGUUGUGAAAUCCCUGGGCUUAACCUAGGAACUGCAACGAUGACUGAUAAGCUUGAGUAUUGUAGAGGGUAGUGGAAUUUCCGGUGUAGCGGUGAAAUGCGUAGAGAUCGGAAGGAACACCAGUGGCGAAGGCGGCUACCUGGACAAAUACUGACACUGAGGCGCGAGAGCGUGGGGAGCAAACAGG
rnacentral:rRNA from 1 species